GGGAUAUUAUCAUAACUGGAUAAUGACCUCGAUUGUGGAUCGAGUCUAUCUUGGUUCGAAUCCAAGAUAUCCCUCCA
rnacentral:tRNA from 11 species